rnacentral:lncRNA from 1 species
AUUGAACCAUUCUUAGUAGAAUUCACAUGCCCUGACGAAGAAACAAACCUUAACAUGUCGUCCUUAACCGACAAAGAGAAAGUCCAACUACUCUGCUCAAAAUCCAAAAACCUUAAACCAUGCCUAACUUCCAGAUAGACAGAACCAUUCAACCCAUAUCCAUAAUGACUCUAAUCCACAGCUCGAAACGACCAAAGCCCCUCUAACCCUGAAUUAUUUUACUACUAACGGGUAAACACAAUCCCUUACCAUUUGUAGAUANCUCGAAACGACCAAAGCCCCUCUAACCCUGAAUUAUUUUACUACUAAUGGGUAAACACAAUCCCUUACCAUUUGUAGAUACCGACUACCUUGCACCUGAGUACAAAAGCGACUUCCACCACAAGUCACAACCAUUGGUGCUAUACCAACAUAUGCAUUACGCCCUGCUAACCACAGCUCAUAUAUUCGAUCUAUCUGAGAUCUCCCCAUUUAUGCAUUGUCUUACUAAUAACUGGAAUACAGAACUCCCGACCAAUGGCUGAAGUUGACAACCUCACACAAGGUCGCACCACGAGAACCCAACCAAGAGUCUACCUGACAAAGGCCAUCCGAGAAUGACCAUGAACACGGAUCCAAUGAUAUAUUUUGCAACCUGGGCACCCAUUAGUCUAACUAUACAAACCAUACCCUAAAAUCGAGGAUCGUCCCCUUGCCAUACUUACCCUUAGUCCCCGAAUACGAUCACCUCCUAAACAUGCAAUAUGAACACUCAAAACAUCUUAAUCAUCAAUUCCAAAAAAAAAUUAAUACAAAAUUCGUUCCCAAAAUAUUUCAUAUAUGCACUUGACUUCCUACAAACUCGUAAUUCUUGAAUUUUCCAUAAGACUCUCGACCAGCACCACAUGACCUAAGCAUAACCUAGAACGUCUGAACGGACUUCUUACCCAAGAUACCAUAACUAAAUAGGCCUUUCCCAUGGGUCUCACCCCAUCUAAUAUAACCAAACGAGCCUCGCCCAUGGGACUCACACAAACUGAUAUAACCAAACAGGCUUCACCCACGGAUAUUACCCAAGCUAACAUAGCCAUAAGGGCCUCGUCCAAAAUAGAGAAUUACACAAGCCUAAAUUUGACAAUAAGUCCAACCAUGCCAAAAAUCAACGGUCCAAAUCAAGGUCAGGGUCAAAAAUCAUCAUCAUCACCCCUCUAAGUCGUGGCCUCCCUAUGGCAACGUCGUGAUCACAAAAGCCAAAAUAGUCGAGUUCAUCCCCAGUCGCCACGUUAUGGCAACCAGAAGCCCACGUCGUUGGAUCUAGGUCUAAACAGCUUGAUGGAUUAAGCUGUUUUCCUUAAUGCUUAAGAGCUCCAUAGCUCAGAUCUAAUUUUCCCCAAGGUCUUGAUGGACAAAGUUUCCAACUUUAUCCAUUAAUACAUCCUAAUAAUCCAAGAUCUUUAAACCUAGGUCCUUAAUUCUAACUUAAGGCAUAAUGUCAACCAUUAAUCAUUUAAUCCUUAAAAUCUCAAGUCCAUAAUUUUCAGAAGAGUUUCCUACUCUUAAACCACCAUAAAAAUUAUUGCUUUAUGGACAUGUAUGUCCAAUGCAUGUCACUUCCCAAACUAUGUCACAGUCAUGAAAAGGUGAGCUCAAACUUAGUCAUGGAACCAAAAACUCCAAGAAAUUCUAGAUUUACAAAAUAUAGCACCAAAAGGACCUCAAGGAUCCAUAAAGUUGCCAACUUUAUGGGAUCCAUUCCUCCAAACUUCCACCGCAUAAAGAAAAGCGGUAAAGAACUUUGAUCUAGAAACACGCAACCAAAAAGCUUGAAUCCCGGACACUUACAAAGGUCCGUAAUUUGAAGAAGAAGGUGAUGAUGCAGUUUCCUUGCUGGAUUAUCACACUAGAACACCUUCCUCUUCUUCUUCAUCAAGCUACCAAAAGUACCAAAAUGAGCCAAGAAUCACCAAGAGGGAUUACGGUUAGGGUUUCUAAGGUUAACAGUGAUGGAUGCUAAGGAAGAUGACUUAGAAUGGGAGUUAAGGUGUCUAUAUGAGAUAGAAACCCUAAAAAUAUCAGGUUUCGGGCUACAACGGCUGCCACGUCGUGCCCAUCCUUUGCCACAUCAUGGAACCCACCAAAUAUACACAUUGUAGAUUAACCUUGCCAUGUCAUGGGGAUCCAUGCGCUAUGUCGUGGCAUGGAGUUUUUCGCAAAAAAUCCAUCUUUGAUCCAACUAAGCUUCAAGCUAAACCAAUCUGGUAAACAGGUGUUACAACUUUCCCCCACUUAAACUAGAUUUUGUCCUCGAAAUCAUUCGUUACAACUUACCCUACCACACUAGCCAAUCCCAACUGAACUUUCUUGAAACUAAAAUAGAUUUGAGAAAUCAUCUCACACAGACGACCACCUUCCGAUACUACUAUUGAACCAUUCUUAGUAGAAUUCACAUGCCCUGACGAAGAAACAAACCUUAACAUGUCGUCCUUAACCGACAAAGAGAAAGUCCAACUACUCUGCUCAAAAUCCAAAAACCUUAAACCAUGCCUAACUUCCAGAUAGACAGAACCAUUCAACCCAUAUCCAUAAUGACUCUAAUCCACAGCUCGAAACGACCAAAGCCCCUCUAACCCUGAAUUAUUUUACUACUAACGGGUAAACACAAUCCCUUACCAUUUGUAGAUACCGACUACCUUGCACCUGAGUACAAAAGCGACUUCCAACACAAGUCACAACCAUUGGUGCUAUACCAACAUAUGCAUUACGCCCUGCUAACCAAAGCUCAUAUAUUCGAUCUAUCCGAGAUCUCCCCAUUUAUGCAUUGUCUUACUAAUAACUGGAAUACAGAACUCCCGACCA